rnacentral:rRNA from 1 species
GACAGAGGUGCCAAGCGUUAGGCGGAAUUACUGGGCGUAAAGCGUGCGCAGGCGGUUUUGUAAGCCAGAUGUGAAAUCCCCGGGCUUAACCUGGGAACUGCAUUUGGGACUGCAAGGCUUGAGUGCGGCAGAGGAGACUGGAAUUCCUGGUGUAGCAGUGAAAUGCGUAGAUAUCAGGAGGAAUACCGAUGGCGAAGGCAGGUCUCUGGGCUGACACUGACGCUCAUGCACGAAAGCGUGGGGAGCAAACAGG